CCUUCGAUAGCUCAGUUGGUAGAGCGGUGGACUGUAGAUUUUGUGAUGGUUAUCCAUAGGUCGCUGGUUCGAAUCCGGCUCGAAGGA
rfam:Ciona savignyi cont_27794, whole genome shotgun sequence.